rnacentral:rRNA from 1 species
GACAGAGGUCCCGAGCGUUAGGCGGAAUCACUGGGCUUAAAGCGUGUGUAGGCGGAUUGGUAAGUACCUUGUGAAAUCCCACGGCUCACCCGUGGAACGGCUGGGCAUACUGGCGAUCUUGGGCCAACUAGGGGCAGUCGGAACAAGCGGUGGAGCGGUGAAAUGCGUAGAUAUCGCUUGGAACGCCGAAGGUGAAAACAGACUGCUGGGGUUGCGCCGACGCUGAGACACGAAAGCCAGGGGAGCAAACGGG